GCGGAGGGAUCAUUACUGAGUGAGGGCCUUCGGGCUCGACCUCCAACCCUUUGUGAACACAACUUGUUGCUUCGGGGGCGACCCUGCCGUUUCGACGGCGAGCGCCCCCGGAGACCAUCAAACACUGCAUCUUUGCGUCGGAGUUUAAGUAAAUUAAACAAAACUUUCAACAACGGAUCUCUUGGUUCUGGCAUCGAUGAAGAACGCAGCGAAAUGCGAUAAGUAAUGUGAAUUGCAGAAUUCAGUGAAUCAUCGAAUCUUUGAACGCACAUUGCGCCCUUUGGUAUUCCGAAGGGCAUGCCUGUUCGAGCGUCAUUUCACCACUCAAGCCUGGCUUGGUAUUGGGCGCCGCGGUCAAUCCGCGCGCCUCAAAGUCUCCGGCUGAGCUGUCCGUCUCUAAGCGUUGUGAUUUCAUUAAUCGCUUCGGAGUGCGGGCGGCCGCGGCCGUUAAAUCUUUCACAAGGUUGACCUCGGAUCAGGUAGGGAUACCCGCUG
rnacentral:rRNA from 33 species